UGAGAUUAGCUGUUACUUUCACAAAAGAUUCAUUCAAUAAGAAGUUUUCCAAUGAGUUGUAUCAUGCAAAUUACAACCACAUAUAUAUUUAUAUAUAUUCUAGUUGCUGUCACCAAAAUGUUCAUAAAAUCUACAAUUACCUAAUUUCAUUCCUAGAGGAACAAAGAAAAUUUUCCCAAGAAUUGCAACAUGCGCUGUUAUCACAUUAGCAGUUGGCAGCACAGGUUGAAAACUUCUGGUUGUAAGAUAAAGACCAUGUGAUGGCAAAGAGUUAGGCCCGAUGGGACAAGUAUCACACUGACUGUAGAUUAUGGGAUUGCAAAGCAUCCUGUAGAUAUCUCACAGCACCAUCGUAGUUUAAGAACCCCAUGAACCAAAAUUCAUGAUUAUCAACAGAAAUAAUCUGAAUGUAUUUCUCUGCAGAAUUUGAUCUGCUUGACGAAGGAUUGACAGCUUUAAGCUGAUGUAAUGGUAUGACCACCUUAUAAUAGCUCCAUUCAGUUUGGCCACCAGAUUUAUAUGAAAGGGGACUGUCACUACAAAAUGCGAGCUUGGCUGUAGAUAUAUAUAAAAUCCCCAUAACUGGACCAGCUGAUGUUGAUAAAUAACAUGCAUAAGAAUUUUGGAGUUGCUCCUCAGGAACUGUUUCAAAUGUCUGUCGAAAGAUCUUCUCGUAACCACCUUCUGCGAGGACCUUUGUCCCCUGAGCAAUUCUUCCCAAUGCAGCAUC
rnacentral:misc_RNA from 1 species